UUUCUUAAAAGCAUAAUGUCUUCCAGGUAGCUUUCAAAUGCUGGUCAUUCCUCUGGUUCCGAAACCAUCUUCACCAACUGAGAACAAUCUGUUGCAAACGUCACCCGAAACUGUCUUAAAUUCUUCAUACAUUCCAUUGCCCAAAUUAAUGCCUCAAUCUCCGCAUGAAGAGGAGAGAGACAUGCCCUUACAUUUCUUGCCCCUAAUAACCCGUCAAACCCCGGUAGUGUGCUGAACCAGCCUUGCCCUGAAAAUAAGUCUUUAUCUUUCCAGGAAUCGUCUAUAAAACACCAUCUUCCUGUAGACCCAGAAUUAAGUCUUAUCUGACCCGCUUGUACCAACAUGGUAUCAUUAAUAAUUUGUGCCUCAGCCCAAAGUCUUGAUUCCAAUUCUGCAAAGUUGAGUGUUUCCCUCGGAUCAAUAUCAAGAUUACUGAAAACUUUUUUAUUCCGGCCC
rnacentral:lncRNA from 1 species